AUGAAAUCACAUUCAUGUUAUCUGUUUUUUUCUACAACUAAAGUCUGUGUGUUCUUUCAGCAGAAACUGAAGUCUCCCAUCACUCCAGUGUUGCUCAGCACUCCUGCCAAACUUAAUGGACCAAGACCAAAUGACAGGGAGACUUCGAGGCCUGAACCUGUAGGCUUUAGAUACUGGAAAACACCUGAAAAAACACCAUCCGUCCUCCAUCAGGCUUCGGGAUCCGUGAGGUCUGAGGGAGGACGAAAUGGACCACAAGCCUGGAAUCCGAAAGCCGAGAUAGACACAUGCCACGCUGGACCACAUCCCAUGUUGAGAAAUCCCACAUGCAGGCGUGGAAGUGCGCCGGAGUCCUUCAGCUCCUCGAUAUCGUCCAUCACUAUCACUUCCAGGAAGGUCACGCACACAAACUCCAGGCCUCUGAGUCCAGCGAUGAAUAGCCUUGCCGAUGGACACAGAAAAGCUUUAGUGGUCAAAGUCACUGAACAGAGGACGAAAAGCACUUCCAGUCUGCCCAUCGCCUCGACCUCUGGCUCUGAUCAUGAAGAGAUGGACCAUGGUGUGGUCCUGAGAAGAAAGGCAACCAUUGUGAAAAUGACCGAACAGAGAGAGCGUUUCAGUCCAGUGAAAUACAGACACAGCUACACUGAAGGACUCCAUAAUGAAUCUAAAGUCAAUCCCUCACCAUUAAACCAACCGUUAACUAUAUCUCUAGAGCCAGGAGGAAACCAGUGGAGGUCCCAGCACAGAUCUAGCCUAUCUCUCUACCUCAACAACCCAAACGAUAGCAGCGCAGUAGGGGAGAGCAACACCAAAACACACAAGCCACCUCGAAGGCCUCUCAGCUGCGACGCAAGCCUGUUUAACCACACAGAACUUGGCAGUAAUGCAGUUACACAGCCAGCGUUUCACAACAAGAGCUCUCCUGUUCCCCAGAAGACAAAUAUUGACCUUGUUAGUUCCAGCAGCAGCGAAGCAAGAAGGCGCUGGGCCUCCGGUGGCGAGGAUGGGAGCGAGAGGAAAGAGUGGAAUCGUGAGGAACCUAUUUCAGGAAUCAAUCCUCUCAAACUACUAAAAGCACCAGAUAACUCGGCUGAUCUGAGCGUAGACGCCGUCCUGGCCCUGAACGCCGCUGCGGUUAUUGCCAACAUAAAGCUGCAGGCCCAGCAGAGACGAACUACAUCCCACACAGCAACAGCAGGUAUACCUGAUCUCUCCUGA
ensembl:lncRNA